UUGAAAUCUGUAGGUGCUCUCAGCGGACCUGUCUGCCUUGAAGUCCUCCCUGCAAGUUUGGUUAGUUUUGAUGUGGAGCUACACCGCUGCUGAAAGGAGACAGAAAGGAUAGUGAGAAACGGUACGAGCAGUCUAGCUUGCUACAUAGCCUGCUUGCUCAUUGUGCAGUGUAGUGUCAUACAGGCCUGUUUAGUUUAGAAACACUGUUUUGGCCUCAGAGAGCUCAGUUUCAUCCCCUGACUGAUGGACGUCUUCAACUGCGUGUGUGUUGUGCUUCUUUGCACCACCAUGGUGCACGGCAAGCCGACGUUAAGAAAAGAAAGAGUCAUUCAUGACUCAGACCUUAGCAAGCGAACCGAGGAAGACAAUAAAAGCUUCCAAUACGACCAUGAGGCCUUUCUUGGGAAAGAGGAGGCCAAAACAUUUGAUCAGCUCACCUCCGAGGAGAGCAAGGACAGGCUUAGUAAAAUAGUGGACCGAAUAGACAGCAAUUCAGAUGGCUACAUCAACACCGCCGAACUGAAGGCCUGGAUAAAGCGUGUACAGAAGCGUUACGUCUAUGAGAAUGUAGCAAAAGUGUGGACAGAUUACGACCUGAACAAAGACAACAAGAUUUCAUGGGACGAGUACAAACAAGCCACAUACGGAUACUACCUCGCCAACCCGGAGGAGUUUGAUGACGCAACAGAUCAGUUCAGCUUCAAGAAGAUGCUUCCUCGUGACGAGAGAAGGUUCAAAACAGCUGAUCUGAAUGGGGAUUUGGCAGCAGACAGAGAAGAGUUCACAUCAUUCCUCCACCCUGAGGAGUUUGACCAUAUGAAGGAUAUUGUGGUUCAGGAAACCCUGGAGGACAUUGACAAGAAUGGCGAUGGGGAUGUGGAUGAGGAUGAAUAUAUUGCUGACAUGUUUGCACAUGAGGAUGGAGGUCCAGAGCCAGACUGGGUGAAGACUGAGAGAGAACAGUUCUCUGACUUCCGAGACUUGAACAAAGACGGUAAGAUGGACCCGGAUGAGAUUCGCCACUGGAUUAUGCCCCAAGACUACGACCAUGCCCAGGCCGAGGCCAGACAUCUGGUUUAUGAGUCUGACCAGGACAAGGACCAGAUGCUGACCAGAGAAGAGAUCCUUGAGAACUGGAACAUGUUUGUGGGAAGUCAGGCCACCAACUAUGGAGAGGACCUCACCAGGAACCAUGAUGAGCUCUAAGCUCGUAGUACAGCUUCUGACGUGUGUGUGUGUGUGUGUGUGUGUGUGUGUGUGGUUGUUGAACACCUUUGUCUUUCAAUGACAGAAUCACAGACUCUUGCAUCUCCGCCCACCACCACUCCAUCCUUCCUCAUAAUAGUUGGACAGAUGUCAGUGCGUUGGAUUUUAAACCAACACAGUAGAUAUCAAAGUACAGGAGGGAUGAGGGUUGGUCCUACCACUAACACUAAGAGUCCAUAUCGAUGGUUCUGUUUCUGACAUUCAGAAGUAAAGCCAUUCCCAGUGGACUUACUUUCCAUCGAUGGUGCCUUCCAGCCGCAUCGGCAACUCCACUGCCUCAGAGAUCUGUGUAGAUAGUCUUUUAAUGAAACCUCUCAAUGCUGAAUGCUGAGGUUUACAUAAACUGUCCAAUACAGGAACAGUUUUUGAUAGCAAUGUUAAUGUGAAGCUACCGCUCAGAAGAUUUAUUCUGAUUUUAUUUAUUUAUCAAUUAAAUUCUGAACUUUAGGUCUGGGAGGAAUACAGUGUUAAGUUAGACAUCUUGUUUUUAACUGAAGACACAAAUGAUGUUUCUUCGUUUACAGUUUUCCUGGCCAAAUUAUUUUAAUGAUGUUUUUGAAUUAGUUAAAUGCUUUAAGAAACUGUUGUCAAACUGAUUUUUAUUGACAUGGUCUUUGCACGUGUUUGGUUUUAGUAUAGCCUGUGAAAGAUUUUUUCCAUUGUACUUACUGUAGUUUGUAAUGUAUUUAUUGGUAUACCUGAAGCCAACAGUAUGCUCUGUGUUCAAUUUUUAUUGUCCUUUGCUUUAUCUGAGCUGUACCCUUUUAAAGUUGUCAAAAUGUGGGUUUGGUUUGGAGAAUACUCCUAAAUACAUGAUCAAUAUGUAGAAAAGUUUCCUUUCCUCACCUCUCUCAUAACUCCUUGCUUUCUAUUACAUCACUCAAAGGUCAUCUGCUAUCAUCAGACGCACCAUUUUUUUCUCCAAAACAUUUGGCAUUGUAUAUAUCAGCCAAGUGUUUAGUUUUUUUUAACAUACAACUCAUUGUCGAGAAUAUGUCCUUUGGGUUUUUUUAUGUUUUGUUUAAUGAAUAGUCUGUGUGACGUGCAUAUAAUUAUGCAACUCAUUAAAAGAACAAGAACAAAACUUUAGGGACUUCUAAUGUUAUGAUUUGUCAAGUUAAUGUCACUCAAAACCUUUUUAUUCCCCUUUUCCUUUUGCAUUAAUAGUCCACAUUAUAAAUGAGCAGAAACCCAUCAACAUGUCUCUUAUUCCACACUGCACAUGCU